UUUCUCUCACUCGUUCUUAUUUCCUUCCCACCACCAAAUAGUUUUCUUGAAGAAACCCUUUUUCUUAUAGUUUCUUAAAAUCAAAGCCAUUCCUUUUUGUCGUCAAAGCUUCAUCUGAUGUUGUGACAGAAACAUCCAAAGAAGAAGGAGAAGUAUGAGAUAGGGAUGGUGGAACUCAUAUUGAUGCUAUUACUCCCGGUGGAUCAACUGACAACGCCGGAGUCUUCAAUGUUGGAGAUAAAGUACUCGCCACCAGUGCUGUUUUUCGGACCGAAACUUGGCCAGCUGCGGAAUAUGGAAGAACAAUCUACACAAUUCGCCAAAGAAUAGGCCCGUUAUUAAUGACAAUGCACAAAAGAUAUGAAAGAUAGAAACUGGUGGUAAGUUCACUGAUAAGGAUAUCUACAGAGCCGAGUAGAACUCUGGUGUAGUCAGUAACAAAAUCAGGGAAAUUCUAGUAAGUUUCAUCCUGAUUAAAAUACAAAAUUGUAAUUCUUGAAUUUUCACACUUUUUUUUAUAAGAUAUUUUAUUUUCUAUUGAAAUAUGUCACUAUUGUACUUCCAUGUGGGGUUACAACCAUUUUCAUUCCUCAAUCUUUCACUGUAUUUCCAUGUGGGGUUACAACCAUUUUCAUUCCUCAAUCUUGUGAAAGAGCGUUGGGAAAAUGAUUUGAGAGAAGGCUUACGACUAUACAAGACUCCCCCGACUCAGAAAAUUGUUUUCUUUCUGUCUUUAUUACAUUUUUUUAACAGUUUCCCUUCAUUUUCUUCCCUUAUCUUAUCCAUGAAAUUUCAGAAUGGAAGUAUUUUGUUCAAUCUUCUAUAGAGAUUAAUUUGGUGUCUAGAACUGUUAUUUCACCUAUGUCAUUAUUGGACAUUUUAUGAAAUUUGGUUUGCAACAUAUAAUCAUGAAAACAUACAAAAAACAUAAUGUUGUGCUGGAUUAAGUAAAUAUUUUCCUUUAUUACUCAAUUGCUUAUUAGAAUAAGAAAUAAAGGAUUGGUGGCUUGGUUCUUGUAAUGGCAAGAUAGACAUGACAUUCUUAUAUGAAAUCGUAAUCUGCAACGCCUAGUUUGAGGCAAAAAAAAAGCUUUAAUUUUGAAGCAUCCAAUUUGCUAGGAGCAUAUCUAGAUUAGAAUAGGAAAAACUUAUGGCAUCUUCAUGACAAUCCUAAUGUCCAUUACUUUCUUGUUUAAAUGUUGAAGGAAUGCUAAGUAAAAAGAAAUAUUAGAGAAAUUUAAGUCAGUUUUGGGAACAAAGCCAGAGCCUGAUGAAGCAGCAGUGGCAAGUUAUAAUGUUGCUUGUUGUUACUCUAAGCUAAACCAGAUUCAAGCUGCAUUUUUCUACAAGCAGCGAACACUUCCUACUCAUGACAGUGGAGGGAUCACCGGCCGCUGCACCUCUGGCCCACAACACCUGGUGAGCUUAGCCCCUGAACCAUCUCUUUUU